CCCUCGUUCUCUCAUCUCUUUCCCUCCCCUACAAAGCACAAAACAACCUCUCUUAGUCUUUUUCUUUUAAACUUCAAUUUAUCCCAAGUAACUGCUCUCUCUUGCACCUGCACAGCUGUAUGUGACUGUCCUACUUUCUCAAGUCAAUUUUAUGCAUGAUUAGGUGGAUGGAAAAUUAUACAUAUAUACUUGGAGUAUGUGUCUGGUGCCUCCAUCUAAAAACUACUUCAAGAAUGUGACCAAUUUGGUUAAAUAGCUAUUCGUAGCUAUACUCAACAAAUCUUGUGUGAGCUUGCUUAUUUGCAUGCUAAAAAAUAUUAUCCACGGGUAAGCCUUAUUGUUUUGCUAUCUCAUGGUUUUGAUAUGGAGCCACAACUUACUCUAAUCACUUAUAAACAUCAUCAUGCUUUUGUCAUAAAUUUUAAUGAUAAUUUAUAGGGGUGUUCAGGGAUAUAA